AAAACCAUGUUGGGAAGUUAUCUUUAGGUGAUAUAGCAGGUGGCUCAAGACUUUCCUCUGAACUAAAAGCAGAAUUCUGCAGCAACGAGAUAGUAUUGCCUGAAAAACAUGAGCUUCAAAUCAGACUUUCAAAGCUAAUUGGAUUACUGGAGGAGGUUGAGGUAGGAUACGAAAAAUACCACCAGCAAAUGGAAGAAGUAGUUUCAUUAUUUGAAUCACUUGCUGGUAUAGGAGCAGCAUGGUCUUAUACGGCUUUGGCACUUCAAGCAAUGUCCAAAACAUUUUGGCAAUCUAAGAGACGCCAUAAUAUCUCAAAUAAAUGCCAUUAGAAGAAAACUAUCGCGUUAUUUACCCAGAAUCAACCGCGGAUUAUCGCAAUUUAGCAUGUUCGAUCAAGAUUCUACACAGAACGGACUGUCUCUUCAACAGCUUAGGAUGACCCCAAGCCAAAGGCAAUCUUGGAGGCCUAUUAGAGGAUUGCCAGAAACCUCCGUAGCAGUCCUUCGGUAUUGGCUAUUCGAACACUUCCUUCACCCUUAUCCAACAGACCAGGAGGAGCUAAUGUUGACAACACAAAUAGACCUAACAAAGAACCAAGAAUGAUUCCUUAUAAUAAUAUUUAACUUAUCCCUGAAUUAUCUAUUUGCAUGAAUUCAGUUGGAGUUUAUUUUGUGUCAAAUUCUGGGUUUGAUCAUUGUGAAUUCAGGUGUAACACUGGUU